CCAAAUCUAUUCAGCAUCGAAUGGUCGCCAAGUCCCCGUAACUUCAAUUGAAUUCUCUUGUGGUGAGAAAGCUCAGCUCUCUCGCUAUAUAUAAAGAAGCGACGAGGUCUCAUCACAUUCACUUGCUUUGCUUCUGACACAGACACUCAUUCACCAAGAGAGCAGACACACAAAAUUUUUGUAAGAGAGAUAGAGAGCGUUGCGUUAUAAUGGCGGCGACGAGACUCGACUCGACUCGACUAGAGAGCAACAACACAACACAAUGUAUCUGAAAUUUUGAACAUCAAAAGCAGAGGGGUACGGUUCUUUUUUGAGUCUCGUUGAUGAUGGUGUUUUGAAGAAUGGAGAAGAUCCAUAACAAUACACAAUUACUAGCUAGAUGUUGAGCUAGUCAAUGCCAGCUUGUGGGAAGUUAUCCUAGAACACACUUAUGCCCUAAGGCGGAUUCCAACGCUCAUGUUAUUCUUAGGCUUAAUACUGUUGCAAUUUGUGUACAAUGGAGUCCAAAAGAUUUUGAGCUACUCAAUGCCAGCCUGUGGGAAGUUAUCCUAGAACUGUGGACAAUACACUUAUGCGCUUUUGGAAUGCUUCUUCAAGUUACGUUUGGAUCCUGCAAAAGAGGAAGAUGGAGUCCAAAAGAUCUUGAGCUAGUCAAUGCCAGCAUGUAGGAAGUUAUCCUAGAAGUGUGGAAAACACUUAUGCACUAUGUGCAUUGAAUGCAGUCUGUGGGGAAGUUAUCCUAGAACUGCGGACAGAACUCACAACAGUCAUAUGCGGUUGGUUUCUCUCUGUCCAAACAUUGAUGAAUCUAUAAGACUAUAGGUCAUCUCAAAACCAGUGAGAGAGGUAACAGGUCAUCCAAAAGACACCUUUGAAAAGGCUAUCCAGAGAAGGCCUAACAUAUACGGCAAAGACCAUUUGCAGGUUUUAGUGCCAUAUGCGGAUAACUUGUUGAAGUUGGAGAACAGCUCAAUGGGAAAAGUUGUUGGCAACUUGAUUCUUAUUAUGGUAAUGGAGAGGUUGAGAGAUCUCGAUGUGGAGAGUGGGUUGGAUGAUACGCUUCAAGAUGACUCCACUAGAAAGGUGUUUGAUAUGGAACUUGAAGUUUCAGUUGAAGGCACUAUGAAUAAAGUUUCCAGAGCGAGUCUCUAAAUCAAAAUAGAAAUGUAGUCUCUGAGUUGUUGGACCAUCUGUCAAAAUGCUGGUCGUCUGGAUGAGGUGUUGGAAAUUUCCUUCGAGUCGUUUGAGAACUUAAUUCUCAACACGCGCAAAUUAAAAAAUUUCACAGUUCCCGAUGUUCUAUGCAUGCUCACUAGAUCCUGAAAGUUGUGGUGCUAAAUUUUCCAGUAAGCUGUUGGACGUAUAUCUUUCCUGCAAUAAUCCUCAAGUUACUAGAAGCGCAGUGGAUUAUCUAGCUAGCUACUUGUCCCGUGCAAAGUUUUUACCUGCUUCUUUUGUCGCUAGCAUGUUUAAAAGAUUGGUGGAAGAAUGUGCGGAUUAUUGCAAAACAUGCAAUGAUGAUGCUAAGCCUGAAGAAGUACAUCAAGUUUUCAGUUCAGGAUGUCAGCAUCUGGAGUGAUACACAAUUAUGUCAAGACACUCAUCCGCCAAGAGAGCAAAACAAAAAUUUGUAAGAGAUAGAGAGCGUUGUGUUAUAAUGGCGACGACGAGACUCGAGAUCAACACAUAUAUCAACAUCAAAGCUAGCAGAGGCGUACGAUAUCUUUUGAGUCUCGUUGAUGGCCUUUGAAGAAUGAAAGAAGAUUCAGAACAACAAAAGUACGUACGUUUGGAUCCUGGAAGGAGGAAGAUACGCUCAUGUUAUUCUUAGGCUGAAAUCAUGCUGCACUCUGUGCCCAACGGAGUCCAAGCGCCAUCUGUUUUCUGUAAUUUGAUAAAUUGAGUUUGGAAUGCUUCUUGAAGGGGGACGUGUGGAGCCUGGAAGGAGGAAGAUGGGUACCAACGCUCAUGUUAUUCUUAGACUGAAUCCUGCUGCACUUUGUUCCUAAUGAGUCCAAAAGAUGUUGAGCUAGUCAAUGCCACUUGUGGGAAAAGUUAUCCUGGAACUGUGGACAACACUUAUGCGCUAUACUCUUGAAAAUUCUAUCAUGCUCUGCUGCUUUCUUCGAUAAAGUUCACCAUGAAAAGCUUCUCCCUCAUAUUUUUGGAAUGAAGAUAUGAGAUUACAAAGCUAAUGCCACUACUAGUGGAAAGUAUCUGAACACGCACAAAUCAAAAGUUUCACAGGAAGCUGUUGAACAUUUAUUCUAGCAACAAAACUCUAGAUACUAGUACGUGGUUUUAUUUUUUCCCUUACUAAACAGGAGGAGUGCCGUGGAUUAUCUAGCUAGCUACUUUUGUGGCUAGCAUGUUAAAAACAUAGAGAGAGACUGCUGUAAAAAAACUGACAGAAGAUUGGUGACAACUUGGCAAAAGAGAUCAUAAAUCACCAAUCACUCGAGACUCAACCAUAUGAAUAUCAACCGGUGGAAGGAGGUGAUGUUGAGCCCUACCCAGUACCCAUCUUGUCAUUGCCACAUAAAUAUCUUGCCCGUUGCCAACUACUCAACUUUAAACGCAGACUUGCUGAGAGUCUGGUAAGCGCUUAGCAUUUCGAAUUAUGGUCUGCGUUUGAGAUUCUUUCAAAUCCUUUUUUUUUUCAGGCGAGAUUUUUCUUCCUGCAGCUUGUAUCAUGUAGUAUGAGAAUGAAGUUUUCCUUCUCAGUACAAAGAGUUGGUGUUUUCACGAGACGUAUAGCCAGCUUUGAGCUUUGGUGCUUUCUGUUUGACGAAGAAGAACGCAGAGAGAACACUCUUUUUCCGGACAGGAGCUUGAAUGAUCUCUCGUCGUGGGUUAUUGUCAAGUGACUUGUGUGCUGCCAGAAGUUUGGGAACCUCCAAAUCCUGAGGAAGCCACAAACUUGUCUUAUC